rnacentral:rRNA from 1 species
GACGGAGGAUGCAAGCGUUAUCCGGAAUUAUUGGGCGUAAAGCGUCCGCAGGUGGACAUACAAGUCUGCUGUCAAAGUGCAGAGCUUAACUCUGUAAAGGCGGUGGAAACUGUAGGUCUUGAGUAUGGUAGGGGUAGAGGGAAUUCCCGGUGUAGCGGUGAAAUGCGUAGAUAUCGGGAAGAACACCAGUGGCGAAGGCAGCUCGCUGGGACGUGACUGACGCUGAGACGCGAAAGCGUGGGGAGCAAACAGG